CCUACGGGAGGCAGCAGUGAGGAAUAUUGGUCAAUGGCCGAGAGUCUGAACCAGCCAAGUCGCGUGAGGGAAGACGGCCCUACGGGUUGUAAACCUCUUUUGUCGGGGAGCAAAGCGAGUCACGUGUGACUCAUUGAGAGUACCCGAUGAAUAAGCAUCGGCUAACUCCGUGCCAGCAGCCGCGGUAAUACGGAGGAUGCGAGCGUUAUCCGGAUUUAUUGGGUUUAAAGGGUGCGUAGGCGGAGGUGCAAGUCAGCGGUCAAAUUGUGGGGCUCAACCCCGUACUGCCGUUGAAACUGCAACCCUUGAGUACGCGAGAGGUGUGCGGAAUGCGUGGUGUAGCGGUGAAAUGCAUAGAUAUCACGCAGAACUCCGAUUGCGAAGGCAGCAUACCGGAGCGCAACUGACACUCAUGCACGAAAGCGUGGGUAUCGAACAGGAUUAGAUACCCCUGUAGUC
rnacentral:rRNA from 1 species